UACUCGUUAAUCUUAUGUAAUCCAAUAAAUUAUGAAGGCAAUUUGAUAAAAUUAUUAAGGCAACCAAUUAUUUAUUCAUUUUCUUAAUUUCUGUCCACAAACCUUAAACAACCGUCAUUUAGAAACGAAUGUAGCUUUUCCAUAAGAUUGAUAGAGGAAAUUAUUUUAAUCAUUCAUGUAAGUAUGUAACAAAGCUAAGCAAUCCAUGUGUUGAAAUGUCUUUAUUGCCCCCAUAAUGAUUAUGGAGUGAUGACUUGCAUACCAGAGCAACCAGACUGCUUAGGCUCUGAAAAAUUGAUUUAACAUCAGUUUGAGUUGGCAUCAUUUUGAGUGUACCAGAGUAAUCCACAGAUAAAAAGAAUCCACAAGUCAACCCCUGAAAAAAGGAUAGGGACGAAGC
rnacentral:lncRNA from 1 species